UCCCUGGUGGCUCAGAGGUUAAAAGCUUCUGCCUGCAAGGUGGGAGACCCAGGUUCAAUCCCUGGGUCGGGAA
rnacentral:tRNA from 1 species